AAAAAAAAAAUCCUAAAAUUUCUAACAAAAUAGAUAUUGAAAAUUUGAGAUAUUUGGGAAAUCGAUAUAUCCUAAGUCAAAAUAAUCCAACAAAUCCUUGAAAUUUAUAUCCUAAUAAAGAAUCAUCGACGCUUUAAUUUUGAACGAUUCUACAAGAAUUUUGAAUUUAGACUGCAAACAAACGGAUUUAACAAUACAAAUACGAAAUAGAAUUGUUGAUAUUUGAAUGAAACCAGAGGCAACAAGAGGAAUUAUGGCAAUCCCUUUAACAAUCCCUUUUUGAUUCAAAUUUAGCAGCAUAUAAUUUAUGAAUCACACAUCACGGAUUUAUAUGAAUUCCUGCUCUAUUGGUUCACUACAAUCCCUAUUUGUACCAAAUUUAGUACACAUACCAACAGAGAUCUCAAUAUCGAAUCUGGGGAUUUCAGCUAUGUUCCUUUGUCCAAUACAAAAUUAAGUACUAUUUAGUACUUUUCGUAAAAUUAUGGUAUACAUCUACAAAUCACCGCCAAACUUUAAACACAGAUACCAUCAGUAAUCUAAAUGUCAAAUUUCAGAAUCUUAUCUCUAUAUCUUCAACAAAAGCUAAAUUUAAUAACAUUUGGUACGUUUCGUACAAUUAAAGUACAUAUUUCCAAAACCAUCUCCAUAUCUCAAUUUCAGAUACGAACAGAGACCUUAAUGUCAAUGUUGAGGACUGAAACUCUAUCCUUUCACCCAGUACCAACUUUAGUACUCUUUAGAACUUUUCGCACAAUUAUAGUACACACUGAUACCAAAUUUAUUACUUUUCGUAAACCAAAUCUCCAACACAGGUACCAUCAGUAAUCUAAAUAUCAAAUAUCAGAAUUGUAUCUAUAUCCCUUCCCUCAAUAUCAAAUUUAGCACUUUUCGUACAAUUAUAUUAUUCAUUUCCAAAACCAUUUUCAUAUCUCAAUUCCAGAUACCAACAGAGAUCUCAAUAUAAAAUUCCUUCGUCCAAUACCAAAUUAAGUACUAUUAAUACAAUAAGUACAAUUAUAGUACACAUUUCCAAAUCUCAGCCAAAUCCUAAUAACAGAUAUCAUCAGUAACCUAAAUGUUAAAUUUCCGAAGUUUAUCUCUAUCCCUUCAACCAAAACCAAAUUUAGUACCACUUAGUACUUUUCGUACCACUGACAUAAACAGUGAAAUUUAUAUUAAAUUUUAGUAUUCCAGGUCUGUACCUUCACAUAACGCCACUCCCUAAACCAAACUGUUAUAAAUUUAGCAUCAUUUACUACUUUUCGUAUAUAUAUGCCAGAAGAACCAAAAAAUAAUA